ACACUUCCUUAGCUAGGAGCUAGCAAUGCUACGUGGAAUUGCAUGUCGAAAAUAUUUAAAAAGUCAACCUGCCAUCUCUCCUGCCCUGCUCGUCCAAGUUCCCACUCUAGUUCCAGUACUGGCAGGCUUCACCACUAUAUCCCAGCAGGGUCCUGCUUGGCAUGUUCUCCCAGGUAUCUUCUGAGAGGUUGUUCUCUCUCCACUUCUCAUUCAAGUCUGAAGAUGCUUACAGUCACCUGCAGUACUUCUAAAUCAGGUCAGUUUUGGGUCUGCUGCCUAUAUUGGACAGUAUGAUCCUCAGGGGAAAUAUACUAUAAUCUUUUGAAAUCUUGCCACCCAGCAUGUAUGCAAUGCAAUCCAUGGGUCUGUUAAUGUUUUCUUAAAUGAUUUUUUUUUCAGAUUUAUACCCCAUGGCAUAAAACAAAGCAACGUAGAAAAUCUCUGACUGCUCCAUAAUGCUGACUUCACAAAGUCCCCAGCCACCCACAGGAUCUCUCAAAGUUGUCAUCUGGAGGAUAGGGGAGCUUUGGGGAAAAAAUCAGAGCCCCUCAAUUACCAAUUCUGACAACUCUUAUUUUAGCUUGAAUCUCCCCAUGCAAAUAGACAGUUGACAUGUGAUUGGAGAAGAAAUAGAAGUAUGUUUCUAUUAAAACCAUGUUCCUUAAGUUGUCGCUCUGAAUUUAUAUCCCUCUGGCCUUUGCCAAGUUGGCUCUGGGCUAUAUUCUGUCCUGAAAUUAGAGCAUUCUUCUUGUAGCCCCAGGAGAUGCCUAAGAUCCUUGAAGAUGAAAACCAGACUCUGAACCAUAGCUUUGGGAAUUAGGGGAGUCCAAAGUGUAACUUCCCUAUGCAACAUGCUUGGGAUAACCCAGCUUUCCUUUGCACUUCUGAUUAGAGUUUUGAGAUGGAAGAGGUCACAGCUCCAAUGAUCUCAGCCGAAGAAGAUGAGGAAGAAGACCAGCACAAGUGAGUCUCUCUCAAAUCAGCUUUUGCUGGUAUCAGGAUUUCUCUGGAGGACUCAACAAAGUCCUCUCCAUGCCUGAGAUUCCUACAAUGAUUGAAAUUCCAUUGUUUCUUCCCCGUGGCAUCCAGCCCACUGUACGCUGUGGCAUUUGGACAGGUUCUUGCCUCGAGUUCCUGCUCUGCCUUCAUUUCACUAUACCUAGAAGCUGAAAUAAACUAUUUCCUCCA
rnacentral:lncRNA from 1 species